UGCUGAAAGCAUGACACGGGGUCAGAGGGCCAACUUCCAGGAUGACUGAGAAUGGCUCUGACAAGCAGCUACGCCUAAGAAGUCUCCUUCCCUGACAUUGAGAGCUGACACCAUGUGAGCGCCUGAGGAGAAACGAGACAUUGCAGGAAUCCUGGGUCAACAAGCUGGGCCUUUGAUGUCUUUGGUGAAGGACGAAUGCUCCUCUACUGGAAAGUCAGUGACAGACAGAGCACUUGAGUGACCAGCUCAAGCCCCCAAGUACUGCUGAGGCAGGCCCACACCUUCCACCUCUGAAACUCAAGCCUCACAGGACCUCAUGAGACUGCUUCUGCUGCAUGAGUCUCCAGUUAGAACUUACUGUCUAGAAAUAUCCUGGGACUGAGUUCAAUGUCACAGAAGAGCACAGCUCAGAGGACCUCAGAAGCCAGUGAAGCCAGUCCCCAGCCUUCUGUUUUUAACAAUCAAAUGAAAAAGAACAAUGGAUAUAACUCUAUUAAAAAAAAAAAAAAAAAACCUUUAUAA